rnacentral:rRNA from 1 species
UUUGGUGGCGAUAGCGGAGGGGAAACACCCGUUCCCAUUCCGAACACGGAAGUAAAGCCCUCCAGCGCCGAUGGUACUGCAGGGGUAACUCUGUGGGAGAGUAGGUCACUGCCAAGA